CAUUCUUCUCCCUACAGGUUCUUUUUACAUAAUCUCACAUGUGAUGUUGAAACCAGAAAGCUGAGCCUACCAGUGAUUCAAGCCCUCCCAUAGAUGUUCACCACAAAGUUGUACAGUUACCACCUCCUGACUUAUGUUCUGGAUCUUUGCCAACUUUUAAUCUUGAUCAUGGCCCCCUGGAUGGACCCUCUUCUGAGGCAUUUCAACUGCUGCUUGCCCUUCUGUCAGCCUUGAAGUAUUUAUUGAGAGAUCAACUUUCCUAACCCCCUAAAAACAAAUCAAGUGACCUCUGAAAGGGGAGUAAUGGACCAUGGGCCACUCAACUCAUCUCUUUUAUUGCCAUUCUGGACAUUGAUUGUGGGACUCAGAACCAAAACAGCUCGAUUCAAGCCUUCUUUUCAUCAGUUACCCUCUCUCUCAGAACUGCUUAAAAUCCUCAGGACCAGCUUGACUCCUUGACUGCUGCAGUAUGCCAAGAUUAAAAAGGACUAGAUCUGACUGCUGCUAAGGAUGGGAUUUGGUUUGUGUCCUCCCUGAACAAUGCUGCUUUCAUGCCAAUAAGUCCUAACUGGUUUGAAAUGGGUCCUAAAGAUGGGAGCAAGAAAAAUGCAACCACAAGGCUCUUAUGCACGACUUCUGAUUCCCUCCAGAAACCUAUCUCUGAUAACUAAGGAUGGCUAGGACCCAGAUGGUUUUGUCAGUAACAGAAGAACACUAACCUUGGUGACCUGUGAAUCCAAGUUACCCACUUGCCAAUAAAACAUUGAUCCCUCCUUUGUGGACAAGA